rnacentral:rRNA from 1 species
UACGUAGGGGGCGAGCGUUGUCCGAAGUUACUGGGCGUAAAGCGCGCGUAGGCGGUCUCUUAAGUCUGGUGUGAAAGGUUCAGGGCUCAACCCCGAAGAGUGCACUGGAUACUGGGAGACUUGAGUUUGGGAGAGGAGAGUGGAAUUCCUGGUGUAGCGGUGAAAUGCGUAGAUAUCAGGAGGAACACCGAUGGCGAAGGCAGCUCUCUGGCCCAAAACUGACGCUGAGGUGCGAAAGCGUGGGGGAGCGAACGGG